UAACAGCGUUCUCACUGCCGGAACUCCUGGAGUAUCGAAUGCCGGCCCCAGGAGGAACGGCAGCCCAACGAGGAUCUGUUCCCAAACCCAAAGGCGGUAUAUUCGCGAGGGGGGCUGCCUGCAACACCACUAGGUGUAGACAACAGAGGAAGAUCA